rnacentral:lncRNA from 1 species
GGUUUCCCCUUGGACUUCCGGCUUAGGCCAGCAGCAGCCUACACAAUCCCCACAGACACACCUAAGCCUGAGAGUCCCGCCCACCUUCUUGUAAGGAAGUCAAUCUCCAAUCAGUCCUGACAGAACAGUCCACUUGCAGAGCUCACAGGCUUUCCUGGGCUGACAACUGAGUCCUGAAGCCACGGAGGGACAGGACCCAGAGGCUAGAGAGGACAGCUCAUAACUGACGGUGACACCGACAGAAACAGCGUGGAAGAUUCCAUACAUAACAAAGUGGUUAUGAGAGAACCUCGCAGGCGGGGUUGACCCACCGCUCACAAACCAUGAAGAGAUUUAGUGCAACUCCUUGUGGCCAUUGCCUUGUGAUGCUUCUGGAGCAGCGUUCAAAGUGUUUCCAAAAGAGGAGCUUGCUAAUAUCUGGAGCAGCCAGGGCUUCGUCAGAAACAAAACCCACCACUUCCCAGGACGGCGCCUUUGAAGAAGGCCUACUUAUUUGUGCCUAGGCGUCAGGAGGAUUGUCAAACAGCCGCAUCGGCUUCUAACUCUGUCCUCUUUACCAAAAGCUAGCACUGCACGGAGAGGAAGAACCUGGGCAGAGAUACAGAAGAGGGACAAAGUGGAAGAAGAGCAGCUGGGGUGUGACAUCCUCUGCAAAACAAUAUAAUCCCACCUACAGAGCCUCUGUAGUCAAUGUCCAACUCAAGACUGACGUUGGAGCAGAAGAGUUUGGAAAAACCCAUGCCAACUCUUUGGUCAGCUUUUCUCUGAAGCUCUCUCCGGCCUAGUCCAAACUGACAGCUUGGGACCUGGAGUGGGACCUGGAGUGGUAAGCCAACUGACUCAAAUCGAGUUCUAAUUCAACUCAACAAAAGUGCCUGCCUUGUAUAAUC